rnacentral:rRNA from 1 species
UACGUAGGCAGCAAGCGUUGUUCGGAGUUACUGGGCGUAAAGAGUAUGUAGGCGGUGUUCUAAGUUCGGUGUGAAAUCUCCCGGCUCAACUGGGAGGGUGCGCCGAAGACUGGGAUGCUGGAGUCUCGGAGAGGAACGCGGAAUUCCUGGUGUAGCGGUGAAAUGCGUAGAUAUCGGGAGGAACACCAGUGGCGAAGGCGGCGAUCUGGGAAGAUACUGACGCUGAGGUGCGAAAGCGUGGGGAGCAAACAGG